rnacentral:rRNA from 1 species
AUUGAACGCUGGCGGCAGGCUUAACACAUGCAAGUCGAGCGGUAGCACAGGGAGCUUGCUCCUGGGUGACGAGCGGCGGACGGGUGAGUAAUGUCUGGGAAACUGCCUGAUGGAGGGGGAUAACUACUGGAAACGGUAGCUAAUACCGCAUAACGUCGCAAGACCAAAGAGGGGGACCUUCGGGCCUCUUGCCAUCAGAUGUGCCCAGAUGGGAUUAGCUAGUAGGUGGGGUAACGGCUCACCUAGGCGACGAUCCCUAGCUGGUCUGAGAGGAUGACCAGACACACUGGAACUGAGACACGGUCCAGACUCCUACGGGAGGCAGCAGUGGGGAAUAUUGCACAAUGGGCGCAAGCCUGAUGCAGCCAUGCCGCGUGUAUGAAGAAGGCCCUCGGGUUGUAAAGUACUUCAGCGGGGAGGAAGGUGUUGAGGUUAAUAACCUCAGCAAUUGACGUUACCCGCAGAAGAAGCACCGGCUAACUCCGUGCCAGCCGCCGCCGUAA